GAUGAACGCUGGCGGCGUGCCUAAUACAUGCAAGUCGAGCGAACAGACGAGGAGCUUGCUCCUCUGACGUUAGCGGCGGACGGGUGAGUAACACGUGGAUAACCUACCUAUAAGACUGGGAUAACUUCGGGAAACCGGAGCUAAUACCGGAUAAUAUAUUGAACAGCAUGGUUCAAUAGUGAAAGACGGUUUUGCUGUCACUUAUAGAUGGAUCCGCGCCGCAUUAGCUAGUUGGUAAGGUAACGGCUUACCAAGGCAACGAUGCGUAGCCGACCUGAGAGGGUGAUCGGCCACACUGGAUCUGAGACACGGUCCAGACUCCUACGGGAGGAAGCAGUAGGGAAUCUUCCGCAAUGGGCGAAAGCUUGACGGAGCAACGCCGCGUGAGUGAUGAAGGUCUUCGGAUCGUAAAACUCUGUUAUUAGGGAAGAACAAAUGUGUAAGUAACUAUGCACGUCUUGACGGUACCUAAUCAGAAAGCCACGGCUAACUACGUG
rnacentral:rRNA from 1 species